UGGCUCAGAUUGAACGCUGGCGGCAUGCCUUACACAUGCAAGUCGAACGGCAGCACGGGAGCUUGCUCCUGGUGGCGAGUGGCGAACGGGUGAGUAAUAUAUCGGAACGUGCCCUAGAGUGGGGGAUAACUAGUCGAAAGAUUAGCUAAUACCGCAUACGAUCUACGGAUGAAAGUGGGGGAUCGCAAGACCUCAUGCUCAUGGAGCGGCCGAUAUCUGAUUAGCUAGUUGGUGGGGUAAAAGCUCACCAAGGCGACGAUCAGUAGCUGGUCUGAGAGGACGACCAGCCACACUGGAACUGAGACACGGUCCAGACUCCUACGGGAGGCAGCAGUGGGGAAUUUUGGACAAUGGGCGCAAGCCUGAUCCAGCAAUGCCGCGUGAGUGAAGAAGGCCUUCGGGUUGUAAAGCUCUUUUGUCAGGGAAGAAACGGUCUUGGUUAAUACCUGGGGCUAAUGACGGUACCUGAAGAAUAAGCACCGGCUAACUACGUGCCAGCAGCCGCGGUAAUACGUAGGGUGCAAGCGUUAAUCGGAAUUACUGGGCGUAAAGCGUGCGCAGGCGGUUAUACAAGACAGAUGUGAAAUCCCCGGGCUCAACCUGGGAAUUGCAUUUGUGACUGUAUGGCUAGAGUGUGUCAGAGGGGGGUAGAAUUCCACGUGUAGCAGUGAAAUGCGUAGAUAUGUGGAGGAAUACCGAUGGCGAAGGCAGCCCCCUGGGAUAACACUGACGCUCAUGCACGAAAGCGUGGGGAGCAAACAGGAUUAGAUACCCUGGUAGUCCACGCCCUAAACGAUGUCUACUAGUUGUCGGGUCUUAAUUGACUUGGUAACGCAGCUAACG
rnacentral:rRNA from 1 species